rnacentral:tRNA from 1 species
GGGGAUUUAGCUCAGUGGUAGAGCGCUUGCCUAGAAGUGCAAGACCCUGGGUUCGGUCCCCAGCUCCG